GGUGGUUCUUGGGUGACGCACGCACCCUGGAAUUGGUCUCUCUCCUCUCUGGUUCUGGGGUGCAUCACCCAAGAACCACU
rfam:Myotis brandtii contig202240, whole genome shotgun sequence.